UGGGGAAUCUUGGGCAAUGGGCGCAAGCCUGACCCAGCGAUGCCGCGUGUGUGAAGAAGGCCUUAGGGUUGUAAAGCACUUUCAGCAGUGAAGAAAUGCCGGGAGCUAAUACCUCCUCGGUUUUGACGUUAACUGCAGAAGAAGCACCGGCUAACUCCGUGCCAGCAGCCGCGGUAAUACGGAGGGUGCAAGCGUUAAUCGGAAUUACUGGGCGUAAAGCGAGUGUAGGCGGCUACGUAAGUCGGAUGUGAAAGCCCUGGGCUUAACCUGGGAAUGGCACCCGAUACUGCGUGGCUCGAGUCUGAAAGAGGGAAGUGGAAUUCCGGGUGUAGCGGUGAAAUGCGUAGAUAUCCGGAGGAACACCAGUGGCGAAGGCGGCUUCCUGGUUCAAGACUGACGCUGAGGCUCGAAAGCGUGGGGAGCAA
rnacentral:rRNA from 1 species